rnacentral:rRNA from 1 species
AUAGGCUUAAACACAUGCAAGUCGAGGGGCAGCAUAUAGAUUGCUUGCAAUUUAUGAUGGCGACCGGCGCACGGGUGAGUAACGCGUAUCCACCUACCCAUUACUAGGGAAUAACCCAGCGAAAGUUGGCCUAAUGCCCUAUGUAGUCGUUUGAUCGCCUGAGAUUUCGACGAAAGAUUUAUCGGUAUUGGAUGGGGAUGCGUCUGAUUAGCUUGUUGGCGGUAAGGCCACCAAGGCAACGAUCAGUAGGGGUUCUGAGAGGAAGGUCCCCCACAUUGGAACUGAGACACGGUCCAAACUCCUACGGGAGGCAGCAGUGAGGAAUAUUGGUCAAUGGGCGAGAGCCUGAACCAGCCAAGUAGCGUGCAGGAUGACGGCCCUAUGGGUUGUAAACUGCUUUUAUAUGGGAAUAAAGUGAGGGACGUGUCCCUUAUUGCAUGUACCAUACGAAUAAGGACCGGCUAAUUCCGUGCCAGCAGCCGCGGUAAAU